rnacentral:rRNA from 1 species
CGAACAAGUUGGAAACGACUGCUAAUACCGCAUACGAUCUAAUCUCGGCAUCGAGGAUAGAUGAAAGGUGGCCUCUACAUGUAAGCUAUCACUGAAGGAGGGGAUUGCGUCUGAUUAGCUAGUUGGAGGGGUAACGGGCCCACCAAGGCGAUGAUCAGUAGCCGGUCUGAGAGGAUGAACGGCCACAUUGGGACUGAGACACGGCCCAGACUCCUACGGGAGGCAGCAUG